rnacentral:lncRNA from 1 species
GCCAUGUUACAAAAAAAAGGCAAAAAAAAAAUACAAUCGUUCAGUGGAGAAUAAAUACUUCCAGACCUGGUGCUGAACCACGGCAGUAUCAACAGAUAUAUUUUCUUUCUUUCAUUUAGAAAUUGUAAGCCAUAGAGUUUACUAUUUACACCUACUUCAGACAUUUAUUUGCUUACAUCAUCACAGGCAUGGAAUGGAUUCUAUCUGAUAGUGCUAAUUCAUAAAGAUGCGGGACAAAGGAGGAAAAUACUUAGUGUUAAAAAAUAUGGAUCAUAGAAAAGAAACCCACUCUAUGAGUGUGGCCUUUGUUGAGUAUCAUUGGACAUGCGCUCUUCAAAAUUCUUCUGGAAAAGCUUCUAAAAUUGGUUAGUAGGAAAGGACAAAUGAAUAGGUGCAAAUUCUUGUCUGUGCAACAAUAGUUAUUUAAUUUACCCCAUGACUGACCGGCUACAUAAAACCCAGAGAGUCUUGUUAAAGUGCCAUGGGCUGACAGAAUAACAAAAUAUAAGGUGUAAAUAGAAAAUUUCCUUUUUUUUUUUUUAAACAAGAGUUCACUGAGAAUCAGCAAUAAUAGAAUACGCUGUAUAAACUAUUUUCUACAAAGGUUAUCAGCGUUAUUUACAGUUGGUACAUGGAUACAAAAGAAGGCAUACAAGUUAUCCAACUCGAGUUCGUGAUUUUUAAAUUUUAUAUGGCUGACAGGUCUAUGCAUUGCGUUAUGCCUAACAUCCAGCGCUGCUGAGGCUGAGACGAGUCAGGAGCUCCUCAGGCAGACAGGGUGUGAGCAGCCAAGGGUCCGAGACAAAAGGCUGAGUGGGGUGUGGGGAACAGAAAGACCAGAGAUGCUACUCUCCUGAUGCUUUAGGGGUUGAAUUCCAUGAGAACAAACACAAAGGAAAUCUUUUCUUUGCAUUCCAUUGUUUUUUUCCCUAGCUAUAAGCAUUUAAUACAUCAGAAAAUAAACCCAGGGAUGAGUGUGAAGGAAGAAAUACCGUGGUCUUUCCCUUUUUGCUCAGUUUUCUGGAAUUGUCCUCACCUUUUGGUCAAAGUAGUCUCUCAAGAGAGUGAGCAGCACUGGGUGGAGGGAGAGCUUCUUUAUCCCAGCUUUGCAUGUACGACACAGAUCGCACUGACCUGAAGCCGGCUUGCUCCCUCUGUCUCUACGAAGCUGCUGCUAUUUCUCAGAGGCAGCUGGCUCACCUCUCAACCUUUGUUUUCCCUCUUUGAAUAGAAGAGUUUAGGGCCAGAGGCUUAUUUUGUUGCUGAGACUUGUUUUGUUUUUGAUCCUGCAAGUUUUGCAACUCAAAAUAAAUUAUAUAUAUAUAUAUAUAUAUAUAUAUAUAUAUCAACAGACAUCUAAA